GACGAACGCUGGCGGCGUGCCUAAUACAUGCAAGUCGAACGAACAGACGCUGAUCUUGCUCCUCUGACGUUAGCGGCGGACGGGUGAGUAACACGUGGAUAACCUCCCUAUAUGACUGGGAUCACUUCGGGAAACCGGAGCUCAUACCAGAUAAUAUAUUGAACCGCUUGGUUCAAUAGUUAAAGAUGGUUUUGCUGUCACUUAUCGACGUAUCCGCUCCGUGUUGGCUUGUUGGUAGGUAACGGCUUAGCAAGGCGACGGUGCGUAGCCGACGUGAGAGGGUGGUCGGCCACACUGGAAGGAAGACCAGGUUCAGACUCCGACGGGAGGCAGCAGUAGGGAAUCGUCCGCAGUGGGCGAAAGCGUGACGGAGCAACGCGGCGUGAGUGAUGAAGGUCUUCGGAUCGUAAAGCUCUGUUAUUAGGGAAGAACAAAUGUGUAAGUAACUAUGCACGUCUUGACGGUAGCUAAUCAGAAAGCCACGGCUAACUACGUG
rnacentral:rRNA from 1 species